UACGGAGGGUGCAAGCGUUAAUCGGAAUUACUGGGCGUAAAGCGCGCGUAGGCGGAAUAUUAAGUCUCAUGUGAAAGCCCCGGGCUCAACCUGGGAACUGCAUGGGAUACUGGUAUUCUAGAAUACAGGAGAGGGUAGUGGAAUUUCAGGUGUAGCGGUGAAAUGCGUAGAGAUCUGAAGGAACAUCAGUGGCGAAGGCGACUACCUGGACUGAUAUUGACGCUGAGGUGCGAAAGCGUGGGGAGCAAACAGG
rnacentral:misc_RNA from 1 species